GGCAGUUUAGCUUAAUGGUAAAGCACUUUGCCAGAGUUAUAUAAAGGGAUAUGGGUUCAAGCCCCAUAGCUGAUU
rnacentral:tRNA from 1 species